rnacentral:rRNA from 1 species
UACGGAGGAGCUAGCGUUGUUCGGAAUUACUGGGGCGUAAAGCGCACGUAGGCGGCUACACAAGUCAGAGGUGAAAGCCCGGGGCUCAAACCCCGGAACUGCCUUUGUAAACUAGGUGGCUAGAAUCUUGGAGAGGUCAGUGGAAUUCCGAGUGUAGAGGUGAAAUUCGUAGAUAUUCGGAAGAACACCAGUGGCAAGGCGACUGACUGGACAAGUAUUGACGCUGAGGUGCGAAAGCGUGGGAAGCAAACAGGAUUAGAUACCCCCCGUAGU